UAGUCCACGCCCUAAACGAUGCUAACUCGAUAUUUGGGUCUUGAACCUGAGUGUCUAAGCGAAAGCGAUAAGUUAGCCACCUGGGGAGUACGUUCGCAAGAAUGAAACUCAAAGGAGUUGACGGGGACCCGCACAAGCGGUGGAGCAUGUGGUUUAAUUCGAGGCAACGCGAAGAACCUUACCAGACCUUGACAUGCCUCUCGCGGAUUUCAGAGAUGAUUUCCUUCAGUUCGGCUGGAGAGUGCACAGGUGCUGCAUGGCUGUCGUCAGCUCGUGCCGUGAGAUGUUGGGUUAAGUCCCGCAACGAGCGCAACCCUCAUUUUUAGUACCAUCAUUUAGUUGGGUACUCUAGAGAAACUGCCGGGGUCAACCCGGAGGAAGGUGGGGAUGACGUCAAGUCUUCAUGGCCCUUAUGGUCUGGGCUACACACGUGCUACAAUGGCAAAUACAAUGAGCAGCGAUCCCGCGAGGGUCAGCUAAUCUCCAAAAUUUGU
rnacentral:rRNA from 1 species